AUGCGUGUCUUGUGUCGUGCAUGUCAAGGUUUUCCCAGACGGCACGCACGUACUCAGUACUUUCCCUGACAUCACUAACGUAGGGUUCUGCGUCCUUGCACGUGCUCGGUCUUUCUGUGGUGGCGGUCCUAAUCGGUGCCUCCGACCUUCGAUGGUCUUCCACGAUCGCUCUCCUCCGCAUUGCUGGGUGGUUGAAAUCCUCCUUCCGGAGGAGAGCUUGGAGCAUGACGGCCCUUGUAGCUGAAGCCAGGCGGCCUCAUCAGCGGGCCGGGGUAGCGCUCUUCACCUCUGUCAGUACGGCGGUGGACGCACCGGCGAGGGCCGAGACCUGUGCCCCUUCGGGGGAAUCCCCGGGGGCGUCUGGUGCAUCCACUCGGGCAGAUAUGGCAAGAAAGCGAAAAUCUACCUGAUGGCGCUGGAAGGGCUGCACUGCCCGCGGCCGGCCUCCCUUUGCUAUUUGCUUCGUUUCUUCUUCGCUUCAGCACGCGGGGCAGACAUCAGGAAUGCAAAUGACUGAUAAAGCAAGCAUCAGCCGUUUCCAACGUUAGAAAUGUUGUUAGAAAGAAAGGCUUCAGGAAGCGGUGGCGCAUUCUCCCGUGGGCAGCGGUGAGGACAAAGGAGUGACAAGCAAGUAUACAUAAAGGUACAUUUUAUUAACGACUUACUCCUAUUGCUAGCAUCCAACAGUAAAAUGGGCAAAAGCCCAACCCGAGGCACGAGGCAGGGAAAUGGAAUCAAA